rnacentral:rRNA from 1 species
AAAAUGUAUUGUUGUAUAUAUAUUGGGAUUGCAUCCCAUUGUAGGAAAAUUUACAAUGAGUUUGUACAAUUGAAAUAUAGGGUAAGAUGCUGCUUUUGUGUUACAGUUACAAUGUGACUUAUAAGUAUGCAUGGUGCUGAAAUAUCGUCCUAUAUGAUAUCAGUUUUUAUAGACAAUACUCGAAAAGUGUAAAUCAUAUUUUACAAUGUGUCAGUGUCAAGGGUUCGAAGUGUCUUCUAGUUCAAGUGUUACAACUUCACUGGGAAAUGGGCUCUAUUUAUUUUUAUAUUCUAUAAAGCAUUAUAGAAUCAAUUAUCUAUAAAUUAGUAGAUCUGUAAAAGUAUGUAGGUGUUUGAAAUAUAGUAAGAGAACUCAGAAUCGCGGUCAGAUGUUUAUUAAAGACUUAGGGGUACAAGUGAUCCCGUCCACUGCCCGAUGUACGUAUGUAUCAAUGGCAGACUUAGCGUGAGGUCAUUAAGGUAGCAAAAUCAUUUGUUUCUUUAUUGGAUUCCAGUAUGAAUGUGGGAUAUGGCCAGUGUUCUUUCUCUCUUUUUAUCGAACUUAUUAUCCAUCUAAGAAAUGAUGGGUGCAGUACCACAAAGAUAAGUCUUCGGAAACUCUGUUGUCUAGCUUUCUAUGGUUUGCUAGAUGGGUUAACUAGGGAAGUUAAUUAUAUAAUCAUCUUUUUCCUGCUCUGCAUAAUAAAGAGUUACUCCGGAGUUAACAGAAAUUCAUACCUGAUGUAGGUCGUAUACUAGGGUAAGUUUUACAUCGAUGUUGUAUCUCCACAUACCGAGAAAGAAUAAGGCUUGGUAAUCCAGACUGUUCUUCUAUGAGAUAGUGGGACGUGAUAUUAGUUUAAUUCGACGCAAGUCAGAAUUGUUUAUCUUGAGUAUUGCUUGAAUAUAGUAUGUUUAGUACGAAAGGAAUUACACUAAAGUCAUAGACUAUUUUAAAGUUAUCGCCAUUUAAUUU